UACGAAGGGUGCAAGCGUUGCUCGGAAUUACUGGGCGUAAAGGGCGCGUAGGCGGGUCGUUAAGUUAGAGGUGAAAGCCCAGGGCUCAACCCUGGAAUUGCCUUUAAUACUGUCGACCUUGAGUAUGGCAGAGGUGUGUGGAACUCCGAGUGUAGAGGUGAAAUUCGUAGAUAUUCGGAAGAACACCAGUGGCGAAGGCGACACACUGGGCCAUUACUGACGCUGAGGCGCGAAAGCGUGGGGAGCAAACAGG
rnacentral:rRNA from 1 species